rnacentral:lncRNA from 1 species
ACUAUUGUACACCAACAAACUACUGUUCCCAUGCAAACUCAGGAGAGACUUGCCACCAACAGCUGGUGUCCUUCACAGCUGUUGACUUCCAUACUGUUUUAAGACCUGUCAUUCUCAGAUAACUUAGACAUUUCAGAGGCAGAUAUGUACUUCCUUCUGAGACUAUGGCUUUUAAAUCUUUGUUAGUGUAAAAUGUCCUUCACAGACACAAUCUUACAUAGAACUCAAAUAUUAGAAACAUGCUGAAGUGGAGGUACCCUAGGAGAAGCAGUGAAGAAAAAACACACAGGUUGCCUCCUGGUCCCACCUCAUACCAUCUUUAAGGCUCUCUCUCAGAAGGCUAGCCCUCUGCAGAACCCAAUUUGAGGACUCCUGCUCUAGACUAUCUGUAGAACAAGCCACAUCACAUACAAUUGCCCAUAUUCUCUGAGACAUAUGAUGGAAAAAUGGUAGACUGCAGAAUCUGCCUUUUAGCAAAAAGCAUGCUGGUGUGUAUUGGCACAUCAUCUAACAGGAAUUCCCCUAGGACACACCAACCUGAGGGGAGAGCUGAGUUGCCUUAUGAUGGGACUGUCAUACAUACUGCUGGCUUCCCCAGUUUCUCAGGUGGUAUGAUUUGGGGCAGUUACUUCACCUCUGAGCUUCCAUUUCCUCGUUUUUAAAGCACGGUGGCAAUACCUACCUCAGGGUGGUUGUAGAAAGAAAUAAUAUGGUGUAUGUGACUGGUGUGGCAUGCAGUAAGUGCUCAAAAAAGGUAGCUGGAGUGAAUUCAGUGUUAUGUACCCACCUCCUACACUUGGGGCAGAAUUGCUUAAAGUAACCCAACUGCGAACCUCCACGGACCAUCUAUCUACAUGGUGUCUGGGAGCCCCAUCCACCUACAGUGAGAGCUCAGUGGUUCUCAACCAGGGGUAAAUUUUCUACCAAGAGCACAUUUUUGGUCAUCACAACUGAAGGAGAAGGUGCUACAGGCAUUUGAUGAGUAGAGUAGAGGCCACUGAUGCUACUGAACAUGUUACAAUGCACAGGACAGCAUCCACAAUAAAAAAUUAUCUGGCCCCAAAUAUCAAUGGUGCUGAUGUUGACAAAUCCUACUUCAGCUUUGUAUUUUAUUUACUGAUUGUAUUUUCCUUGUUAAGUACCAAACAUCAGCUUUAGAAUCUGAUUGGCAAUAUGGAGGAAUGGAAGGAUCAUAAAAAUGAAUUGCAAACCAAAUGGU